rnacentral:lncRNA from 1 species
UUGGAAGUGAAAAUAGUAUGUUUCUACAUGGUUUAGAACUUAAUAGCAUGGUUAUUUACUGCUAAAUUAUCUGAAACAAUUUCUGUAAGAUUUUGAGCUGUUCACACGUCAAAAAGAUUUUGCAAGGGCCUUCUGUUCGGCUGCUUCCAAAUUAUGAUUGGAUUGAGGUCAAAUGAAAACCUUGAAUUCCAGAAAUUUAAGAAAGUUUUUGAAGUAUUUACUAUGGUUUGUGAAAACAUUUGGAAAACACUAGGGAACAAAAAGAGUUCAUUCAAGUUUCAAUAUUAUAUUCUUUUACAAAUUCACCUAAUCAGAAGUUAUUUUCAUGUGUGCGUGUGUCUAGGUGUAUGCAUGUAUAAGCAUAUGUGCAGAUUUGUUGCAAAUCUUAUAUUAUUAUUUUGUUUUUUGUUUCCAACUUGACCUUCUGGCAUCUUUAUUCACAUUAACUCAAACAGCUAGAAUCGUCACCUUAAGAAAUGGAUGGUUAGAAAGAAAAGGAUGAAGACUGAAUAAAGGAGUAAAGGACAGUGUGCUUGUACCAAAAGUCUGAUACGUAGUUUCCUGUCUUAUGGUCUUUUGCCUCAUAAAUUGGUGAUGGCUCCUACCAACAUAUGAUGUAUUCUUUCCCGUAUGUUAUCAGCUCCAAGUUUCAGUUUUAACCAAAUUGGUCUUAACAAAAAAUUAAUUUGCUUGUGAAUAAGUGCAUGCUAUUAGUGAUAAUCUUUUUAGCUACCGAAACAGUGUCAUGCUGUCGUGCAGAACCGAAGUUCUUUAAACUGAGAUCUGAAUUUGACUUUGUUUGGUUGGCAGAAAAUUGAGAAGCAGGGAUCCAAUGAACAAUCCUCUUGAUAUAAGCUUCCUUGCUGGGAAACCCACUCUUAGAUUCGUGGGAAUUGUGUUGUUGACUCCUAGGAAUCUCACAAAAAGUUACCCGAUUUACUAGAUGAGUAUUGAUCUCAGAUCCGGAUGUGAGGCCUUUUGGAUUGUUUUUUGUUCUUGUUUUUGUUGUGUUAGGUUUGGAAUAAAUUCUGGCUUCAUAUUGAAAAACACCAUAUAUAAAAAAUUAUGAUACUGCAGUGAAUACUUGGUUUGAACUUUCAGAUUAUUUUGAAGUGACUUGAAAAGGGCGCAUAACAUAUUUGGCAUAUAUAUAUGUAUCUAUUUGUUGAGAUCUUAAAUGAAGAAAAAAUUUAAGAAUGUCAUUGAUGAGCUCAAAUAUUUUGUUUUGAUUAAAAUAAUGUAAUUUUUAAAAAUUGUUAAUACAAUUAAAAUUUUAAAAAUUAUUAAUACAAUUAAAAUUAUCUAUUAAAUUCACGUUUGUUGCA